rnacentral:lncRNA from 1 species
GAAAAUGCAGAUGAAGGAAAAGAACCCCUGCUCCAUUAGGGUUUGCCCAUUAUGCGGCCACUAAACCACCAUCGACUUGAUGGCUAAUGGCGCGGAUGACGGCCAGAUCUGGUACACGCCCACGAAGGUAAGCUUUUUCCUUUUCUUUUUCUUUUAAAAAAAAAGACUCAAGUCAUGCAUUAUUCCUUUUAACAACGAAGCAUAAAUUCAAAAGCAUCAAGCAUUCGACCCUCGCCCGAACCUCUAUAUUUUCGAGACGUUUUGGGCUUUCAUCGGUGUCGAUUCACAUAUUAAAAGGAGAUCGAGCUAAUGAAGAGGAGAAAUAAACCGAAAGAGAAAGAACAAAGAAGCUUGAAAUCACUUUUACUAUUUUGAUUUCUUUUUUCUAUUCUCUGUGCGUAUGUGUGUGUAAAAAAAAAGGAGAAUACAUUUCUUUUGGCUUUAUAGCCGAAAUCUCGAAAAAUCAAAAUAAAAAAUACAAUUUCUCUUUUUCGUAUUUGCUGUUGUGGUUUGUUUGUUUCUUCGCAGGUACAGAGUGUACUUGGCGCGAGUACGGAGGUUGUGCUGGUGUACGGAGGCGCGAGCGUGGCUGCUGGAGGGUACUGAGGCUGAGGCUGAGGCUACUGCGGGUUGGGGUUUGGCUGCUAGGGUUUCUGAAACCUUGACAUUUUGGGCUUUUCGGGUCUGUUCUUGCAGUUGGACCACGAGUUUUUGUAAUUGGAUUGUGAACUGGACUAUUAUGAUUUGAAUUUUUGGUAUUGUAUUUGGGUUAGAUUUAAUUUAGGUUUGGGCUUCUAAUGGGUAUCAGGUCUGGGUUUAUUUGGGCUAUUGUAAUAGUUUUGGACUUUGGACUAUUAAUUGGGUUUAAUUUUUAUUUAUUUUGUAUUUUGGUGGACCCGGGCAAAUUGGCCCGUUUACAGUGAAGCAUAUUUUGCAUUUUA